AUGGCUCCUCCAACGCGUACGACUCCGAAUCCUGAUCCGCCACCACCACCUCCUCCUCCGGAGGCAUGGCAAGCUGUGAUGGCCACUACCAAUGCAAACACGCAGCUGAUCAUGCAACUUCUUCAAGAGCGCAACCAAGCGAACCAAGGCAACCAGAGCAACAAUCAGAAUCACUUUGCUACACUCAACCAGUUCCUUGCUAACCAGCCAAAGACCUUCAGCAAUUGUGUUGAGGCAACUGACGCUGAUGAUUGGCUCGUGGACUUGUGCAAGCAUUUCGAGUGCAGUAACGUCAUGCCUGAGGACUUUGUCAAGUUCGCUUCCUUCCAACUCAAAGACCAAGCUGCAGAAUUGUUUCAGCAGUAUAAAGAUUCCAGAGGAGGCCGUGUGAUUACCUGGGAUGAAUUCCGUCAAGACUUCAAAGCUCAUCAUAUUCCUCAGAUCGUGGUUGAAAGCAAGCGUGAGGAAUUCCGCAACCUGAAGCAAGGCUCUAUGUCUGUCUAUGACUACAACAAGAUGUUUCAGAAGCUCGCCCGCUUUGCUAAGAAGGACGUCCCUAACGAGAAGAGCAUGAUAUACUAG
rnacentral:rRNA from 1 species